rnacentral:rRNA from 1 species
AUUGAACGCUGGCGGCAGGCCUAACACAUGCAAGUCGAGCGGAUGAAGGGAGCUUGCUCCUGGAUUCAGCGGCGGACGGGUGAGUAAUGCCUAGGAAUCUGCCUGGUAGUGGGGGAUAACGUCCGGAAACGGGCGCUAAUACCGCAUACGUCCUGAGGGAGAAAGUGGGGGAUCUUCGGACCUCACGCUAUCAGAUGAGCCUAGGUCGGAUUAGCUAGUUGGUGGGGUAAAGGCCUACCAAGGCGACGAUCCGUAACUGGUCUGAGAGGAUGAUCAGUCACACUGGAACUGAGACACGGUCCAGACUCCUACGGGAGGCAGCAGUGGGGAAUAUUGGACAAUGGGCGAAGCCUGAUCCAGCCAUGCCGCGUGUGUGAAGAAGGUCUUCGGAUUGUAAAGCACUUUAAGUUGGGAGGAAGGGCAGUAAGUUAAUACCUUGCUGUUUUGACGUUACCAACAGAAUAAGCACCGGCUAACUUCGUG